rnacentral:rRNA from 1 species
GACGAACGCUGGCGGCGUGCCUAACACAUGCAAGUCGAACGGAAAGGCCCUGCUUUUGUGGGGUGCUCGAGUGGCGAACGGGUGAGUAACACGUGAGUAAACUGCCCCUGACUUUGGGAUAACUUCAGGGAAAUGGGGCUCUUAUCGGAUAGGAGCUCUUGCUGCAUGGUGGGGGUUGGAAAGUUUCGGCGGUUGGGGAUGGACUCGCGGCUUCUCGGCUUGUUGGUGGGGUAGUGGAUUACCAAGGUUUUGACGGGUAGCCGGCCUGAGAGGGUGACCGGCCACAGUGGAACUGAGAUACGGCCCAGACGCCAACGGUAGGCAGCGGUGGGGAAUAUUGCACAGUGGGCGGGAGCCAGAUGCGGCAACCCCGCGUGCGGGAUGACGGCCUUCGGGUUGUGAACCGCUUUCGCCUGUAACGAAGCGUGAGUGACGGUAAUGGGUAAAGAAGCACCGGCUAACUACGUG